rnacentral:rRNA from 1 species
GAUGAACGCUGACAGAAUGCUUAACACAUGCAAGUCAACUUGAACUUCGGUUUGGGUGGCGGACGGGUGAGUAACGCGUAAAGAACUUGCCUCACAGAUAGGGACAACAUUUGGAAACGAAUGCUAAUACCUGAUAUUAUGAUUUUAGGGCAUCCUAGGAUUAUGAAAGCUAUAUGUGCUGUGAGAGAGCUUUGCGUCCCAUUAGCUAGUUGGAGAGGUAACGGCUCACCAAGGCGAUGAUGGGUAGCCGGCCUGAGAGGGUGAUCGGCCACAAGGGGACUGAGACACGGCCCUUACUCCUACGGGAGGCAGCAGUGGGGAAUAUUGGACAAUGGACCAAGAGUCUGAUCCAGCAAUUCUGUGUGCACGAUGAAGUCUUUCGGAAUGUAAAGUGCUUUCAGUUGGGAAGAAAAAAAUGACGGUACCAACAGAAGAAGUGACGGCUAAAUACGUGCCAGCAGCCGCGGUAAUACGUAUGUCACAAGCGUUAUCCGGAUUUAUUGGGCGUAAAGCGCGUCUAGGUGGUUAUAUAAGUCUGAUGUGAAAAUGCAGGGCUCAACUCUGUAUUGCGUUGGAAACUGUGUAACUAGAGUACUGGAGAGGUAAGCGGAACUACAAGUGUAGAGGUGAAAUUCGUAGAUAUUUGUAGGAAUGCCGAUGGGGAAGCCAGCUUACUGGACAGAUACUGACGCUGAAGCGCGAAAGCGUGGGUAGCAAACAGG